AUGUUGCGAAGUGUAACACCGCGGAUAGGUCUGUACAACUAUGAUGCGAUGAAGAAGAUGGUGGAAAAAAUUACAGUCAAUGUUGGUGCGGGUGAAGUUUCCUUCCACGGUGCAACGGUACGGACCGAGCUGUCAGUGAGCAAUCUAAUUGGCUUCCCUUCUAAGAAAUGUCCCACAGCAAAGCCGGCACCGGCUCCCAAGAGGGGAAACGCCACAUGCACACCGAUGUUGCGAAGUAGUUAUGCCAAAACUGGUCCGCAGGAGUUUUCAAAUUACAUACGAACACGCUACCCAAGUAUAUCAGCGCAGAAGCUUGGUAUACUUCUACGGGAGCAGAAUGCUCGCGGCCUAGCAAACAUAUCAGAAAUGCGUCAAGCGUUCCAGUCCAAUAUGUUUAAUUUCACAGACAAGCUUAUGUCAUGCUUAGCAGAGAGUUGCACUUGUUGUAAGGCACAUGGCAACAAAAAAUGCAUCUUGGAAAACGAAGGAACAAAUACUUACGAUCCCCCCCCUCAUGUAUCAACAGAUCAAACUCAAUUCUGCACGCCGUUAGCCAGCAAGAUUGGACCCCGACUACCAGCACCAGGCAACCCUGGAGGUUGCCUGUCUGUCAAUAGUUCCGUGUCUAGGAAAAGAGAUGGCAGUUUAUCAUCAAGCAUACAGUCGGGCACAGCAAAGAAAACAUGUUCACGAGAGACAGAGACUGCCCUCGCCGCAACACCAACAUGUGCGCAAGAACCACUCAAUCAAAUCCCCAUAUCCCAGGAUGCAACUGUCAAGGAAUUUGCGAGCAAAAUUGCUGCUUUUUAUGAUGACCUUACAUCCAUCUUGGUUACUUACUAUGCUGAGAUACGUCCAACACCCGGAUUCAUAUUGUUUGGAUCAACCACCGAUGGAGCACAUUUGAAGAUCGAUCUCCCUCAAUGCAAAUUUGGAAGAGAUCCUUGGGUCGCCGGAUCAGUCCCAGUGCCACCAAACCCAACUGUACUCAAGGCCAUAAAAGACUGGAUGAGUGCAACCUCGAUGUUAAACCUUGAGAGGAAAUGGAUCGUGCAUCCUAAGCCAAGACUCGUAACAUUAGAGGGUGUUGAAAUCCAGCGUCAGCUUGCAUCUAACGAUGCAAUGACCCAUGAGAUGGCUACAGCUAUUUUUCGUAGGCUUGGGCAAGUUGAUUUGUUUUUCUCAAAGGACAGUACUGGACAGAUAUGGAGGAAAUUCGUCGAGCCCGACUUUGCUACAACUGUUUUAUCGAACGCCGACCCAAUGACCGUACAAUCAAUCAGGGCCAGCUUCCAAGAAGGAACAACAUCCUGCAACCCAGCUUCGUGCCGAAUGUGGUACAUCCCGACGAUACUGCCUGAUGGUUGGACUGUCUAUGCUUUUGAUAUGUUGCGCAAAAGAAUAAUUGUAUUAGACCCAGCAGUUGGCCCGUUUGGCUAUAGCAACCGCCGAGUCAGCAUGCAUGAAUUUGUUAGCAACAAACUCCAUGCCGCGUUGUUCACAUGCCUCCAGAAUUUCUUCAGCUCUUGGCAUUGUGAAUCAAGCCACUAG
rnacentral:rRNA from 1 species